UCCAGGGAGGCACAGUGCAAGGAAGAGCAUUUCAGCCUAGGGGAAAGACAUGGUUUCCAGGCAGAACGCCCCAAGGGGCAGACUGCCUUCUCUUCUCCAGGUGUUCCCUGGAAUGGAGAAUGACACUAACUCGUGUUACCUCUACUUGGGCAAAACGGCAGUGAACAUAACACUUCCCUGCCAGAGGCUAUUAAAUGACCAGAGAUGGAAUACAUCAUGCGGGCCCAGCUGGUCUAGGAGGCAGCUGUUUGUUCCCCUUUGUUUUAUUAAUACAGGCUGAGAAAACAAGGUGUAGUGUUAGAGACUUGCCCAUGCUCAUGAAAUGAAGUGGGACAGACUUCGUGCUAUUUUUUCAAGCCAACGGCUCCUCCCAAAGGUGACCAAGCCUUCCACACCCGUCCUCCAGAUCUGCCCGGACCUGUAGUUGCUGCCCAGGGAGCUAAGGCUCCUCCCCAAACAUAAACUCGAUCUUGAAGCUACAAUAGACCUGGCCUUUCUUGCUGCCUCUGGCUUUCUGUCUUUCAUCCUCCUCUCCCUUUCCCCAGCCCUCUCUCCUGUCUCCUACAGGUCUUGGCUGGUGUCGGGAAAGGGGUCCCAUCCCAUGGCCUCUCACUUGGGGGAGCCAGGGUUCCUGCCCUGUGGGUCCUGUGACAUGGUUUUCCGCUCCUGGGCCCUGUUGGCCACCCACACUCAGCGCUUCUGCAUUGGCCGUCUGACCCAGGAGGUGACACUUGGAGCACAGCCCUCAAAAGCCACUGAACCACAGGGCCCCGCGGUUGUGCCACAAGAACAUCAGGGCCUCCUAGAGCAGGAGGCCAGCAAACCGGCUCUGAAGAGGCUAACAGAGGAGGUGCAGGGGCUGCGGCUGUACCUGCAGGAAAUGCGACCCAAGAUAACAGAGGUCCCCGGGAGGUCAGAGGGGCCGACUCAGGGCCCCAGCUCCGAAGCUGCUGGGAGCCCAGGCGAGCGGCUGCGGGCGCUGCACGGGUCUCACGCCAGGCGCGUGGCGGAGACGGAGGCACAGAGCCGGGCCCUGGAGCGACGCGGCGAGGAACUGAGCCGGCGCCUCCAAGGUUUGGCCCGAACCCGGGGCGGGAUAUCACGCCUAUUCGGCCUGGAGCGGGAGCUUCGAGAACUCCGAGCAGAGGCCGGGCGAACGCGGGGAGCUCUAGAGGAGUUAGGGGCGCGAGUUCAGCAGCUACUACCCGAGCCUGGCACCCGGCUGAACUCCUCGCGAGAGGCAGAACUCUGUUGUCCGGUGCUACAGGCCAACCCAGGGACUCUGGCUGCCGAGAUCGGGGCUCUGCGUGAAGCCUACAUUCGAGGCGGGGGCCGGGACCCCGGCGUUCUGGGCCAGAUAUGGCAGUUGCAAGUGGAGGCAUCAGCCCUGGAGCUUCAGCGGUCGCGGACCCGCAGGGGAAGACGGACAGGUGCCGCAUCCGGGGAACUUCUAUUAGUGGAGGCAGAAAACCGGCGCCUAGAGGCAGAAAUCCUGACUUUGCAGAGGGGCGGAGGUGCAGCGCCCUGGGGGCCCGGAAAGCGGGGACUUGUGGCCAAUCCCAGCCCACGCCUGAGGAGGGAAGAUCCCCCACGCCUCCCGCCGCCAGUGGCUCCCCCUCUGCCACCGCUUCCACAUUCGACAGGCGGCCUAUUCUUGGGUGGUCCGGAAAAUGCUCCACAGCUUCCUGCAACCGUGACCAGGAACCUGGGCCUGGAUCCACACUUCUUCCUGCCCCCAUCUGACGUUCUGGGCCCUGCACCCUACGACCCCGGGUGUGCACUGAGAACUGUGUUCCCCAGAGCUGGCCUGGUCAUUUUCUACGACUUCCUGCGGGGCCUUGAGGCUUCUUGGAUUUGGGUGCAACUAACGACUGGUUUGGCACGAGACGGACAGGAUACAGGAGGGACCACAGUUUUGCCCCCAGCCCUUUGCUUGCCCCCGCCUCCAGCUCCUGGGCCCAUGGGCAACUGUGCCAUCCUUGCCAGCAGGCAGCCUGUACCCAGACUACCACCGUCACCGUCAGUGGCCUUGGUCUGUGAGCUACAGGCCUCACAGGGCCUGGCCUGGGCUAGGGCACCACAGCCAAAGGCCUGGGCCUCACUGGUGCUAUUUGACCGGGAUCAGAGGGUGCUAAGUGGCCGUUGGCGUCUCCCACUUCGAGCCCUUCCUCUGGACACCAGCCUGAGCCUUGAGCAGCUGAAUGGUAUUCCCCAGGUCAGGCUGAGCUCUUUCUGCGGCUGGUGAAUGCAAGAGAUGCAGCUGUCCAGGCACUGGCAGAGAUCAAUCCAGCAAGUGCCCACGAGUACCAGUACCCACCUCCGGUGUCCAGCUCAUCUUCACUGGGAGCCAGCUCCGCUGCCCCAAGAGCUGGCUUUGUUGAUCCCCCUCCUCCUGCAGAAGAGCCCGUCGGCUGCUGAGUCAAGGAGAGGGAUGAGGGUUUGGGUCCUUGUGGCUUUCACGCACCCCCACUGGCUCUGAGUCCAGAAGAACGUGGCUAUGAGUAGCUUAACACGCAUAGGACUAGGGCCUAAAUUGAGGCCUCUUCCCAAACCUGCAGCUUUACUCCAUCAUGUUCUGACAGAGAGUCCAGCAAACAGCAGACAUGAGCACAAAAUAUGAGCUCCAACCACAGCUUUACCACCUUCCACAAGUACGUGGCCUUUCCUUACCUGUUUUUUUUUUUUUUUUUUUGUAAACAGAUUGAUGUGAGAAUUAAAUGAAUGCCAGGUAUUUACAAUACUGCCUGGCACAUAGGAAAUUCUUUGAAAGGUGGCUAGGGCGCACUCUUUAAUUCCAGCUAAAGGAACUUGAUAAACUCAUUCCCACAUGUCUUUUUGCUAAAGCCAGUCUUACUACCACACUUCUUCAUUCAAAUUCAAGCUUCCUCAGGCCAUCCUUCCAGGCUUCUCAAGGCAACCCUCAAGGACAUCCAAGAAGCCUUAUAGACUUACAGAUUCAAGGACAGGGCCCGGACCCAAUAAUGUUCCUCUCAAGUCGGGGCGGGGGGGGCUUCAUGUGAGCUGUAGCUGAUAUUUGAUAUUGGGCCUGGCCCAGACCCCAGUGUCAACCAAAGGUCAAAGGCCUGGGAGUCAAGUAUGUCAUGACUGUGUUGGCCUGACCAAAAAAGUAAAUAAAAAUAGAAUAAAAAAAA